rnacentral:rRNA from 1 species
UGGGGAAUAUUGGACAAUGGGCGAAAGCCUGAUCCAGCCAUGCCGCGUGUGUGAAGAAGGUCUUCGGAUUGUAAAGCACUUUAAGUUGGGAGGAAGGGCAGUAAGCGAAUACCUUGCUGUUUUGACGUUACCGACAGAAUAAGCACCGGCUAACUCUGUGCCAGCAGCCGCGGUAAUACAGAGGGUGCAAGCGUUAAUCGGAAUUACUGGGCGUAAAGCGCGAGUAGGUGGUUCGUUAAGUUGAAUGUGAAAGCCCCGGGAUCAAACUGGGAACUGCAUCCAAAACUGGCGAGCUAGAGUAGGGCAGAGGGUGGUGGAAUUUCCUGUGUAGCGGUGAAAUGCGUAAAUAUAGGAAGGAACACCAGUGGCGAAGGCGACCACCUGGGCUCAUACUGACACUGAGGUGCGAAAGCGUGGGGAGCAAACAGG